UACGUAGGGGGCAAGCGUUGUCCGGAUUUAUUGGGCGUAAAGAGCGUGUAGGCGGCCAGGUAGGUGGGUUGUGAAAACUGGAGGCUCAACCUUCAGACGUCGACCCAAACCCCCUGGCUAGAGUCCGGAAGAGGAGAGUGGAAUUCCUGGUGUAGCGGUGAAAUGACGCAGAUAUCAGGAGGAACACCAAUGGCGAAGGCAGCUCGCUGGGACGUGACUGACGCUGAGACGCGAAAGCGUGGGAGGCAAACAGG
rnacentral:rRNA from 1 species